rnacentral:rRNA from 1 species
UACGGAAGGGGCAAGCGUUGUUCGGAAUUACUGGGCGUAAAGGGCGCGUAGGCGGCCUUCUAAGUCGAACGUGAAAUCCCUGGGCUUAACCCAGGAACUGCGUCCGAUACUGGAAGGCUUGAAUCCGGGAGAGGGAUGCGGAAUUCCAGGUGUAGCGGCGAAAUGCGUAGAUAUCUGGAGGAACACCGGUGGCGAAGGCGGCAUCCUGGACCGGUAUUGACGCUGAGGCGCGAAAGCCAGGGAGCAAACGGG